AAGUCGUAACAAGGUUUCCGUAGGUGAACCUGCGGAAGGAUCAUCAUUGAAUUUUACCGGCUUUGCCGGUACACACACGCCGCCGCGAGGUGGCUACUCUCAAACCCAAACCAGUCAGUGUAUGUGAAAAUUUUGUAAUAAAAUACAA
rnacentral:misc_RNA from 1 species